rnacentral:rRNA from 1 species
GACGAACGCUGGCGGCGUGCUUAACACAUGCAAGUCGAACGGUAAGGCCCUUCGGGGUACACGAGUGGCGAACGGGUGAGUAACGCGUGAGUAACCUGCCCUUCACUCUGGGAUAACAGUUGGAAACGGCUGCUAAUACCGGCUAUUCAGCUCCUGUCGCAUGGUGGGGGUUGGAUAGUUUUGGUGGUGGAGGAUGGGCUCGCGUCCUAUCAGCUUGUUGGUGGGGUGAUGGCCUACCAAGGCGUCGACGGGUAGCCGGCCUGGGAGGGCGACCGGCCACAUUGGAAUUGGGAUACGGCCCAAACUCCUACGGGAGGCAGCAGUGGGGAAUAUUGCACAAAGGGCGGAGGCCGGUUGCAGGAACGCCGCGUGCGGGAGGACGGCCUUCGGGUUGGAAACCGCUUUCAGCAGGGACGAAGCGCAAGUGACGUUACCUGCAGAAGAAGCACCGGCUAACUACGU